GUGGGGAAUAUUGGGCAAUGGGCGAAAGCCUGACCCAGCAACGCCGCGUGAAGGAAGAAGGUCUUCGGAUCGUAAACUUCUAUCCUUGGUGAAGAUAAUGACGGUAGCCAAGAAGGAAGCCCCGGCUAACUACGUGCCAGCAGCCGCGGUAAUACGUAGGGGGCAAGCGUUGUCCGGAAUGAUUGGGCGUAAAGGGCGCGUAGGCGGCCUGGUAAGUCUGGAGUGAAAGUCCUGCUUUUAAGGUGGGAAUUGCUUUGGAUACUGUCGGGCUUGAGUGCAGGAGAGGUAAGCGGAAUUCCCGGUGUAGCGGUGAAAUGCGUAGAGAUCGGGAGGAACACCAGUGGCGAAGGCGGCUUACUGGACUGUAACUGACGCUGAGGCGCGAAAGUGUGGGGAGCAAACAGGAUUAGAUACCCUGGUAGUCC
rnacentral:rRNA from 1 species